rnacentral:rRNA from 1 species
UACGUAGGGGGCAAGCGUUGUUCGGAAUUACUGGGCGUAAAGGGCGCGUAGGCGGCCCGGCAAGUCAGGAGUGAAAGCCCUGGGCUCAACCCGGGAACUGCUUUUGAAACUGCCGAGCUAGAGUGCGGAAGGGGCAACUGGAAUUCCCAGUGUAGCGGUGAAAUGCGUAGAUAUUGGGAAGAACACCUGAGGCGAAGGCGGGUUGCUGGGCCGACACUGACGCUGAGGCGCGAAAGCCAGGGGAGCGAACGGG